rnacentral:rRNA from 1 species
GAUGAACGCUGGCGGCGUGCUUAACACAUGCAAGUCGAACGAUUAAAGCCCCUUCGGGGGUGUAUAGAGUGGCGAACGGGUGAGUAACACGUGGGCAAUCUGCCCCUCACUUCGGGAUAACUCAGAGAAAUUUGAGCUAAUACCGAAUACUCCGGUCGGACCGCAUGGUCUGAUCGGGAAAGCUCCGACGGUGAGGGAUGAGCCCGCGGCCCAUUAGCUUGUUGGUAGGGUAAUGGCCUACCAAGGCGACGAUGGGUAGCCGCGCUGAGAGGCGGAUCGGCCACACUGGGACUGAGACACGGCCCAGACUCCUACGGGAGGCAG